rnacentral:snRNA from 12 species
GCACAUGCCAGAUAAAAGGUGAAGAUGGUUCAGAAAAAAAAAAAAAAAAAAAAAAAAAAAAAAAAAAAAAAAAAUCACCCAGGGCGAGGCUCGUCCAUUGCACUUCGGCCAUGCUGACCCCUGUGAAUUCCCCAAAUGUGGGAACCAUGACUGCAUGGUAGUGGGGGACUGCGUUCGCGGUCUCCCCUG